rnacentral:tRNA from 1 species
AGACAACAGUAGCUCAGCUGGUUAGAGCACCUGCCUCUUAAGCAGGGUGUCCGGGGUUCAAGUCCCCGCUGGCCCUCCA